rnacentral:rRNA from 1 species
CCAGACUCCUACGGGAGGCAGCAGUGGGGAAUAUUGCGCAAUGGGGGAAACCCUGACGCAGCAACGCCGCGUGAGUGAGGAAGUAUCUCGGUAUGUAAAGCUCUAUCAGCGGGGAAGAAGGAAGACGGUACCCGACUAAGAAGCCCCAGCUAACUACGUGCCAGCAGCCGCGGUAAUACGUAGGGGGCGAGCGUUAUCCGGAUUCACUGGGCGUAAAGGGAGCGCAGGCGGCACGGCAAGUCCGGUGUGAAAGCCCGGGGCCCAACCCCGGGACUGCACUGGAAACUGCCGGGCUGGAGUGUCGGAGGGGCAGGCGGAAUUCCUAGUGUAGCGGUGAAAUGCGUAGAUAUUAGGAGGAACACCGGUGGCGAAGGCGGCCUGCUGGACGACGACUGACGCUGAGGCUCGAAAGCGUGGGGAGCAAACAGGAUUAGAUACCCGUGUA